AUCGGUGUCAGGCCAGGCAGACGUACCAAGAUGGUCUCACUGGCUCCCCUGCUCUGCCUCGUGGUGCUCUGGGUCCAGGGUUCCUCCGGGCAGAUUGUGCUGACUCAGACCCCAGAGUCCCUGGCGGUGUCUCCAGGAGAUCGAGUGACCAUCAAGUGCAAAGCCAGCUCCAGCCUUACUUAUAGUAGCUCUGGGAGUACCUAUCAGCUCUUACACUGGUACCAACAGAAACCCGGGCAAGCUCCAAAGCUCCUCAUCUAUGAUGCUUCCACACGGCAGUCAGGAGUCCCAGCCCGGUUCAGCGGCAGUGGCUCUGGCACUGAUUUCACUCUCACUAUCAGCAGUGUUGAAGCUGAAGAUGACGGAGAUUAUUAUUGUCAGCAGACCCGCAGUGGUCCUCACACAGUGAUACAAACCCAUACAAAAACCUGCUGCGAUGCACAGCCCAGCACCACAGCUGCUUCCUGA